rnacentral:rRNA from 1 species
AGCGAACGCUGGCGGCAGGCCUAACACAUGCAAGUCGAACGAACUCUUCGGAGUUAGUGGCGGACGGGUGAGUAACACGUGGAACGUGCCUUUAUGUUCGGAAUAACUCAGGGAAACUUGUGCUAAUACCGAAUGUGCCCUUCGGGGAAAGAUUUAUCGCCUUUAGAGCGGCCCGCGUCUGAUUAGCUAGUUGGUGAGGUAAAGGCUCACCAAGGCGACGAUCAGUAGCUGGUCUGAGAGGAUGAUCAGCCACAUUGGGACUGAGACACGGCCCAAACUCCUACGGGAGGCAGCAGUGGGAAUCUUGCGC